rnacentral:lncRNA from 1 species
CACCUGUUGGCAACCCCAUGGACAAUUCAGGUAUUUAGUUUGAACGGGCCAUUUGAAAUUGCAUUCUUGGGUGUAUUUUUGUAUGGUAAUGCUAAUGCAUUUACACCAACCAGUUUGAGACUGAUAUCUAGAAAAACUAUUUUCAAACUAGGUAGGUCCUUUAAGUCUAUAUUUACACAUGCAUUAGUGUAAAAUGAUCCCUCUUUUGUUCUACUAAUGUUGUUAGCUGACACUGCAUUUCUUUUUCUUCCAGGAUACGGUAUGUAGAGACGACGUAGGCUAAAGUGAGAACGGCAUUUUUUUCACCCUAUUUCUUUGAUGUAAUACAGAAUUUGUUAGCUAUUUAAUUUAUAACAACAAAUUGUAGUGUGGUGAGCUAGAUCAGUGACAUUUUUGUUUACUAUUGAAAUUAAUAAUUUAAAAAGGUUUUGCAAAUUGAAGAAAGAUUUUAUUUUUAUUUAUCUAAAUAAUCUUAUGUUUUGUUAAUUAAAAACUAUAUAUAUA